rfam:Echinococcus multilocularis genomic scaffold, pathogen_EmW_scaffold_04
GGCUCAGUGGUCUAGGGGUAUGAUUCGCGCUUCGGGUGCGCGAGGUCCCGGGUUCGAAUCCCGGCUGAGCCC